UCGAUUUGAGGGAAAAUGAAUGAAU
rnacentral:piRNA from 1 species